rnacentral:rRNA from 1 species
UACGUAGGGUGCAAGCGUUAAUCGGAAUUACUGGGCGUAAAGCGUGCGCAGGCGGUUAUGUAAGACAGAUGUGAAAUCCCCGGGCUCAACCUGGGAACUGCGUUUGUGACUGCAAGACUCGAGUGCGGCAGAGGGGGGUGGAAUUCCACGUGUAGCAGUGAAAUGCGUAGAGAUGUGGAGGAACACCGAUGGCGAAGGCAGCCCCCUGGGUCGACCACUGACGCCUCAUGCACGAAAGCGUGGGGAGCAAACAGG